rnacentral:rRNA from 1 species
GACGAACGCUGGCGGCGUGCUUAACACAUGCAAGUCGAACGGAAAGGCCCUGCUUUUGUGGGGUGCUCGAGUGGCGAACGGGUGAGUAACACGUGAGUAACCUGCCCUUGACUUUGGGAUAACUUCAGGAAACUGGGGCUAAUACCGGAUAGGAGCUCCUGCUGCAUGGUGGGGGUUGGAAAGUUUCGGCGGUUGGGGAUGGACUCGCGGCUUAUCAGCUUGUUGGUGGGGUAGUGGCUUACCAAGGCUGUGACGGGUAGCCGGCCUGAGAGGGUGGCCGGCCACAUGGGGACUGAGGUACGGCCCAGACUCCUACGGGAGGCAGCAGUGGGGAAUAUUGCGCAAUGGGCGGAAGCCUGAUGCAGCAACGCCGCGUGCGGGAUGACGGCCUUCGGGUUGUAAACCGCUUUCGCCUGUGACGAAGCGUGAGUGACGGUAAUGGGUAAAGAAGCACCGGCUAACUACGUG